rnacentral:rRNA from 1 species
UACUUUAAGGUUAAGUAAAAAGCUUAAGGUUUUAGUUAAAUGUUUAAUCUUAUAAGUUAAUAUAAAUAAUAAAGGGUAAAAUUAGAAUAUUAUUUUGUAAAUACAAAGAUUAGAGUUGAAGCUAAAAAAGUUUAGUAAUAAACUAGGAUUAGAUACCCUAUUAUUCUAAAAUAAAUUUACCUAAACUAAAUUAGUAAGAGAUAAGUACUUAAAAUUUAAAAAAUUUGGCGGCAAUUUAAUCUUUUCAGAGGAACCUGUUUUAGAAUCGAUAAACCACGAAAAAUCUUACUUGUUCUAGUAAAAUUCAGUUUGUAUACCAUCAUUAUUAGAUAAUUCUUAAAGGAAAAAUUAUUAGAUUUAAUUAUUUAUUAAAAUUAGAUCAUGGUGCAGUCUAUGAGCAAGGUAAAAUGGGUUACAAUAAAUUAUUUUAUGGCGGAUUAAUAAUAGAAAAUUAUUAUAAAGAAGGAUUUGAUUGUAUCGCUAUUUUAAUAAGUUAGCGAGAUAUAAGUUCUAAAUUGUGUACAUAUCGCCCGUCGCUUUCAUUUAUAAGUGAAAUAAGUCGUAACAUA